GCCAACCGCCAAUAAAUUUCAAGAAGAAGAAGAAACCUGCCGUACUGUUGCAUUUACCGGCCAGACAUGGAGACAUGGAGGCGUUAAUCCGCUGUCAUCCUCCUUCUGCGGUUCUAAAUCUGAACUUUGUAACGACCUGACUUGUUUGCAGGAAGGCCUCAGGAUGAUGAUGAUGAUGAUGAAGAACUGGUAAGGCUCUUCUUCCUCCAUGCAGCUGCUGUGGUUCUGUCCUCUGCUGCUGCGCCACCUGCAGGCUGAAUAGUGUAAAUGUUUCUGCAUGAGGAGCUCCUUUCUGAUUGGCCGGCUGCUCUGGCAGCGGCUGAUAGGGUCUGGUUGACUUCCUGCUGAAACAUCAGACCUGAUCCAACGAUCUGGAUAAAUACAGUAUAAAUAAAGUUUCUAUGUAACUCUGAUGCAGUAGAUGUUUAUGGACAAGGCUGCAUUAAACUGAUAUUAUGUAUUUUAAUAUAAAACUAUAGAGAAGAAGAAUAAAUGGUGGGAAAUAAAAAGUAGCUGAAAUGAUGGAUUUUUAUAUUGAGAAACAUUUUUUCUCCUGUAUGUUUAUAAAUUUAAAUGUAUUCAUAUAUUUUCUAAGUUUGAAAUAAAGAAUCUGAACUGAAUGUUUAA